rnacentral:rRNA from 1 species
UACAGAGGGGGCAAGCGUUGUUCGGAAUUACUGGGCGUAAAGGGCGCGUAGGCGGCCUGUUAAGUCGAACGUGAAAUCCCCGGGCUCAACCCGGGAACUGCGUCCGAUACUGGCAGGCUUGAAUUCGGGAGAGGGAUGUGGAAUUCCAGGUGUAGCGGUGGAAUGCGCAGAUAUCAGGAGGAACACCGAUGGCGAAGGCAGAUCUCUGGGCCGUAACUGACGCUGAGGAGCGAAAGCGUGGGGAGCGAACAGG